rnacentral:rRNA from 1 species
UACGUAGGGUGCGAGCGUUGUCCGGAAUUAUUGGGCGUAAAGAGCUCGUAGGCGGUCUGUCGCGUCGAUCGUGAAAACUUGGGGCUUAACCCUGAGCUUGCGGUCGAUACGGGCAUGACUGGAGUUCGGCAGGGGAGACUGGAAUUCCCGGUGUAGCGGUGAAAUGCGCAGAUAUCGGGAGGAACACCGGUGGCGAAGGCGGUUCUCUGGGCCUUACCUGACGCUGAGGAGCGAAAGCGUGGGGAGCGAACAGG